rnacentral:rRNA from 1 species
UACGUAGGGUGCGAGCGUUGAUCGGAAUUACUGGGCGUAAAGGGUGCGCAGGCGGUUCUGCAAGUCAGGCGUGAAAGCCCCGGGCUUAACCUGGGAAUGGCGCUUGAAACUACAGGACUGGAGUAUGGCAGAGGGAGGUGGAAUUCCACGUGUAGCGGUGAAAUGCGUAGAGAUGUGGAGGAACACCGAUGGCGAAGGCAGCCUCCUGGGCCAAUACUGACGCUCAGGCACGAAAGCGUGGGGAGCAAACAGG